AACGAACGUUAGCGGCGCGCCUAACACAUGCAAGUCGUGCGAGAAAGGGGCAACCCCGGUAAAGCGGCGCACGGGUGAGUAACACGUAGGUAAUCUACCCUCGGGUGGAGGAUAACCUUCCGAAAGGAGGGCUAAUACUGCAUGAGACCACGACCUCGAAAGGGGAUGAGGUCAAAGCCGGCCACUGUACACAAGCUGGCGCCUGAGGAUGAGCCGGCGGCCCAUCAGCUAGUUGGUAGGGUAACGGCCUACCAAGGCGAAGACGGGUAGCUGGUCGGAGAGGAUGAUCAGCCACACUGGAACUGAGAAACGGUCCAGACUCCUACGGGAGGCAGGAGUGGGGAAUCUUGCGCAAUGGGCGAAAGCCUGACGCAGCGACGCCGCGUGAGUGAUGAAGGCCUUCGGGUUGUAAAGCUCUGUGGGCGGGGACGAAUAAGCCACGGCUAACAUCCAUGGUGAUGACGGUACCCGUUUAGCAAGCACCGGCUAACUCUGUGCCAGCCGCCGCCGUAAAAC
rnacentral:rRNA from 1 species